rnacentral:rRNA from 1 species
UACAGAGGGGGCAAGCGUUAUUCGGAAUUAUUGGGCGUAAAGGGCGCGUAGGCGGCGCGGUAAGUCACUUGUGAAAUCUCUGAGCUUAACUCAGAACGGCCAAGUGAUACUGCAGUGCUAGAGUGCAGAAGGGGCAAUCGGAAUUCUUGGUGUAGCGGUGAAAUGCGUAGAUAUCAAGAGGAACACCUGAGGUGAAGACGGGUUGCUAGGCUGACACUGACGCUGAGGCGCGAAAGCCAGGGGAGCAAACGGG